GCUGCAGUUGUCGUAGUAGGAGCUGCGGUUGUUGUAGUAGGAGCUGCGGUUGUCGUAGUAGGAGCUGCGAUUGUCGUAGUAGGAGCUGCGGUUGUCGUAGUAGGAGCUGCGGUUGUAGGAGCUUCGGUUGUCGUAGUAAGAGCUGCGGUUGUCGUAGUAGGAGCUGCGGUUGUCGUAGUAGGAGCUGUGGUUGUCGUAGUAGGAGCUGCGGUUGUAGGAGCUUCGGUUGUCGUAGUAAGAGCUGCGGUUGUAGGAGCUUCGGUUGUCGUAGUAAGAGCUGCGGUUGUCGAAAUAAGAGCUGCGGUUGUCGUAGUAAGAGCUGCAGUUGUCGUAGUAAGAGAUGCAGUUGUCGUAGUAAGAGAUGCAGUUGACGUAGUAGGAGCUGCUGUUGUAGGAGCUGCGGUUGUCGUAGUAGGAGCUGCGGUUGUCGUAGUAGGAGCUGCGGUUGUAGGAGCUUCGGAUGUCAUAGUAAGAGCUGCGGUUGUCGUAGUAAGAGCUGCAGUUGUCGUAGUAAGAGCUGCAGUUGUCGUAGUAAGAGCUGCAGUUGUCGUAGUAGGAGCUGCAGUUGUCGUAGUAGGAGCUGCAGUUGUCGUAGUAGGAGCUGCGGUUGUCGUAGUAGGAGCUGCGGUUGUCGUAGUAGGAGCUGCGGUUGUCGUAGUAGGAGCUGCGGUUGUCGUAGUAGGAGCUGCGGUUGUCGUAGUAGGAGCUGCGGUUGUCGUAGUAGGAGCUGCGGUUGUCGUAGUAGGAGCUGCGGUUGUCGUAAUAGGAGCUGCGGUUGUCGUAGUAAGAGCUGCAGUUGUUGUCGUAAGAGCUGCAGUUGUCGUAGUAGGAGCUGCGGUUGUCGUAGUAGGAGGUGCGGUUGUAGGAGCCGCAGUUGUAGGAGCCACGGUUGUCGUUGUAGAAGCAGCGGUUGUCGAUGUAGGAGCUGCCGUUGUCGUAGUAGGAGAUGCCGAUGUUGUAGUAGGAGCCAAAGAUGUCGUAGUAGGAGCUACGGUUGACGUAGUAGGAGCUGUGGUUGUCGUAAUAGGAUCUGCAGUUGUCGUAGUAGGGGAUGCCGAUGUCGUAGUAGGAGCUACGGUUGACGUAGUAGGAGCUGUGGUUGUCGUAGUAGGAGCUGCGGUUGUCGUAGUUGGAGCUGCGGUUGUAGGAGCAGCAGUUGUCGUAGUAGGAGCCGUGGAUGUGGUAGUAGGAGCCGUGGUUGUCGUAGUAGGAGCUGCGGUUGUCGUAGUUGGAGCUGCCAUUGUCGUAGUAGGAGUUGCCGAUGUCGUAGUAGGAGCCAAAGAUGUCGUCUUAGGAGCUACGGUUGUCGUAGUAGGAUCUGAGGUUGUCGUAGUAGGAUCUGCGUUUGUCGUAGUAGGUUCUGCGGUUGUCGUAGUAGGAGCGUCCGUUGUUGUAGUAGGAGAUGCCGAUGUCGUUGUAGGAUCUGCGGUUGGAGAAGCCGCGGUUGUCGAUGCAGGAGCAGCCGUUGUCGUAGUAGGAGCCGCCGUUGUCGUAGUAGGAGCCGCCGAUGUCGUAGUAGGAGCUGCGGUUGUCGUAGUAGGUUCUGCGGUUGUCGUAGUAGGAGCUGCGGUUGCAGGUGCUGCGGUUGUGGUAGUAGGAUCUGCAGUUGUCGUAGUAGGAGAUGCCGAUGUCGUAGUAGGAGCCAAAGAUGUCGUAGUAGGAGCCACGGUUGACAUAGUAGGAGCUGUGGUUGUCGUAGUAGGAGCUGCGGUUGUCGUAGUUGGAGCUGCGGUUGUAGGAGCAGCAGUUGUCGUAGUAGGAGCCGUGGAUGUGGUAGUAGGAGCCGUGGUUGUCGUAGUAGGAGCUGCGGUUGUAAGAGCUGCAGUUGUCGUAGUAGGAGCUACGGUUGUCGUAGUUGGAGCUGCCAUUGUCGUAGUAGGAGUUGCCGAUGUCGUAGUAGGAGCCAAAGAUGUCGUCUUAGGAGCUACGGUUGUCGUAGUAGGAGCCGAGGUUGUCGUAGUAGGAUCUGCGGUUGUCGUAGUAGGUUCUGUGGUUCUCGUAGUAGGAGAAUCCGUUGUCGUAGUAGGAGCUGCCGAUGUCGUAGUAGGAUCUGCGGUUGUAGGAGCUGCAGUUCUCGUAGUAGGAGCUGCCGUUGUCGUAGUUGGAGCCGCCGAUGUCAUAGUAGGAGCUGCGGUUGUUGUAGUAGGAGCUGCGGUUGACGUAGUAGGAGCUGCGGUUGUCGAAGUAGGAGCUGCGGUUGUCGUAGUAGGAGCCGCGGUUAUCGUAGUAGGAGCAUCGGUUGUUGUUGUAGGAGCCGCAGAUGUCGUAGUAGGAGCCGCAGAUGUUGUAGUAGGAGCUGCCGUUGUCGUAGUAGGAACUACUGUUGUCGUAGUAGGAGCUGCGGUUGUUGUAGUAGGAGCUGCGGUUGACGUAGUAGGAGCUGCGGUUGUCGAAGUAGGAGCUGCGGUUGUAGUAGACGCGGUUGUCGCUGUAGGAGCUGCCAUUGUUGUAGUAGGUGCUGUCGAUGUCGUAGUAGGAGCUGCCGAUGUCGUAGUAGGUGCCACAGAUGUCGUAGUAGGACCUGCAGAUGUCGUAGUAGGAGCCGCGGUUGUCAUAGUAGGAGCAGUGGUUAUAGGAGCUGCGGGUGUCGUAGUAGGAGCUGUGGUUGUCGUAGUAGGAGCUACGGUUGUUGUAGUAGGUGCCACAGAUGUCGUAGUAGGAUCCGCAGAUGUCGUAGUAGGAGCCGCGGUUGUCGUAGUAGGAGCUGUGGUUGUAGUAGACGCGGUUGUCGCUGUAGGAGCUGCGGUUGUAGUAGACGCGGUUGUCGCUGUAGGAGCUGCCAUUGUUGUAGUAGGUGCUGCGGUUGUUGUAGUAGGAGCUGCGGUUGACGUAGUAGGAGCUGCGGUUGACGUAGUAGGAGCUGCGGUUGUCGAAGUAGGAGCUGCGGUUGUAGUAGACGCGGUUGUCGCUGUAGGAGCUGCCAUUGUUGUAGUAGGUGCUGUCGAUGUCGUAGUAGGAGCUGCCGAUGUCGUAGUAGGAGCUACUGUUGUCGUAGUAGGAGCUGCGGUUGUUGUAGUAGGAUCCGCAGAUGUCGUAGUAGGAGCCGCGGUUGUCGUAGUAGGAGCUGCGGUUGUAGGAGCUGCGGUUGUCAAAAUAGGAGCUGCGGUUGUAGAAGCUGCGGUUGUCGUAGUAGGAGCUGCAGUUGUUGUAGUAAGAGCUGCGUUUCUCGUAGUAGGAGCUGGGCUUGACGUGGUAGCAGCCUCGGUGGUCGUGGUAGGAGCUGCGGUCGUCGUGGUAGCAGCCUCGGUUGUCGUGGUAGCAGCCGCGGUUGUCGUAGUUGGAGCUACGGUUGUCGUAGUAGGAGCUGUGGUUGUCGUAGUAGGAGCUACGGUUGUUGUAGUAGCUGCCACAGAUGUCGUAGUAGGAUCUGCGGUUAUCGUAGUAGGAUCUGCAGUUGACGUAGCAGGUACUGCGGUUGUCGUCGUAGGAGCUGCGGUUGUCGUAGUAGGAGCCGCGGUUAUCGUAGUAGGAGCAUCGGUUAUCGUAGUAGGAGCAUCGGUUAUCGUAGUAGGAGCAUCGGUUGUUGUUGUAGGAGCUGCCGUUGUAGGAGCCUCAGAUGUCGUAGUAGGAGCCGCAGAUGUUGUAGUAGGAGCUGCCGUUGUCGUAGUAGGAGCUACUGUUGUCGUAGUAGGAGCUGCGGUUGUUGGAGUAGGAGCUGCGGUUGACGUAGUAGGAGCUGCGGUCGUCGUGGUAGCAGCCUCGGUUGUCGUGGUAGCAGCCGCGGUUGUCGUAGUUGGAGCUACGGUUGUCGUAGUAGGAGCUGUGGUUGUCGUAGUAGGAGCUACGGUUGUUGUAGUAGCUGCCACAGAUGUCGUAGUAGGAUCUGCGGUUAUCGUAGUAGGAUCUGCAGUUGACGUAGCAGGUACUGCGGUUGUCGUCGUAGGAGCUGCGGUUGUCGUAGUAGGAGCCGCGGUUAUCGUAGUAGGAGCAUCGGUUAUCGUAGUAGGAGCAUCGGUUAUCGUAGUAGGAGCAUCGGUUGUUGUUGUAGGAGCUGCCGUUGUAGGAGCCUCAGAUGUCGUAGUAGGAGCCGCAGAUGUUGUAGUAGGAGCUGCCGUUGUCGUAGUAGGAGCUACUGUUGUCGUAGUAGGAGCUGCGGUUGUUGUAGUAGGAGCUGCGGUUGACGUAGUAGGAGCUGCGGUUGACGUAGUAGGAGCCGCGGUUAUCGUAGUAGGAGCAUCGGUUAUCGUAGUAGGAGCAUCGGUUAUCGUAGUAGGAGCAUCGGUUGUUGUUGUAGGAGCUGCCGUUGUAGGAGCCUCAGAUGUCGUAGUAGGAGCCGCAGAUGUUGUAGUAGGAGCUGCCGUUGUCGUAGUAGGAGCUACUGUUGUCGUAGUAGGAGCUGCGGUUGUUGUAGUAGGAGCUGCGGUUGACGUAGUAGGAGCUGCGGUCGUCGUGGUAGCAGCCUCGGUUGUCGUGGUAGCAGCCGCGGUUGUCGUAGUUGGAGCUACGGUUGUCGUAGUAGGAGCUGUGGUUGUCGUAGUAGGAGCUACGGUUGUUGUAGUAGCUGCCACAGAUGUCGUAGUAGGAUCUGCGGUUAUCGUAGUAGGAUCUGCAGUUGACGUAGCAGGUACUGCGGUUGUCGUCGUAGGAGCUGCGGUUGUCGUAGUAGGAGCCGCGGUUAUCGUAGUAGGAGCAUCGGUUAUCGUAGUAGGAGCAUCAUUUAUCGUAGUAGGAGCAUCGGUUGUUGUUGUAGGAGCUGCCGUUGUAGGAGCCUCAGAUGUCGUAGUAGGAGCCGCAGAUGUUGUAGUAGGAGCUGCCGUUGUCGUAGUAGGAGCUACUGUUGUCGUAGUAGGAGCUGCGGUUGUUGUAGUAGGAGCUGCGGUUGACGUAGUAGGAGCUGCGGUUGACGUAGUAGGAGCUGCGGUUGUCGAAGUAGGAGCUGCGGUUGACGUAGUAGGAGCUGCGGUUGUCGAAGUAGGAGCUGCGGUUGUAGUAGACGCGGUUGUCGCUGUAGGAGCUGCCAUUGUUGUAGUAGGUGCUGUCGAUGUCGUAGUAGGAGCUGCCGAUGUCGUAGUAGGUGCCACAGAUGUCGUAGUAGGAUCCGCAGAUGUCGUAGUAGGAGCCGCGGUUGUCGUAGUAGGAGCUGUGGUUGUAGGAGCUGUGGGUGUCGUAGUAGGAGCUGUGGUUGUAGAAGCUGCGGUUGUCAAAAUAGGAGCUGCGGUUGUAGAAGCUGCGGUUGUCGUAGUAGGAGCUGCAGUUGUAGUAAGAGCUGCGUUUCUCGUAGUAGGAGCUGCGCUUGACGUGGUAGCAGCCUCGGUUGUCGUGGUAGGAGCUGCGGUCGUCGUGGUAGCAGCCUCGGCUGUCGUGGUAGCAGCCUCGGCUGUCGUAGUAGGUGCCGCAGAUGUUGUAGUAGGAGCUGCCGUUGUCGUAGUAGGAGCUACUGUUGUCGUAGUAGGAGCUGCGGUUGUCGUAGUAGGAGCUGCGGUUGACGUAGUAGGAGCUGCGGUUGUCGAAGUAGGAGCUGCGGUUGUAGUAGUAGGAGCUGCGGUUAACGUAGUAGGAGCUGCGGUUGUCGAAGUAGGAGCUGCGGUUGACGUAGUAGGAGCUACUGUUGUCGUAGUAGGAGCUGCGGUUGUUGUAGUAGGAGCUGCGGUUGACGUAGUAGGAGCUGCGGUUGUCGAAGUAGGAGCUGCGGUUGUAGUAGACGCGGUUGUCGCUGUAGGAGCUGCCAUUGUUGUAGUAGGUGCUACGGUUGUAGUAGACGCGGUUGUCGCUGUAGGAGCUGCCAUUGUUGUAGUAGGUGCUGUCGAUGUCGUAGUAGGAGCUGCCGAUGUCGUAGUAGGUGCCACAGAUGUCGUAGUAGGAUCCGCAGAUGUCGUAGUAGGAGCCGCGGUUGUCGUAGUAGGAGCUGUGGUUGUAGGAGCUGCGGGUGUCGUAGUAGGAGCUGCGGUUGUCGUAGUAGGAGCUGCGCUUGACGUGGUAGCAGCCUCGGUUGUCGUGGUAGGAGCUGCGGUCGUCGUGGUAGCAGCCUCGGCUGUCGUGGUAGCAGCCUCGGCUGUCGUAGUAGGAGCCGCAGAUGUUGUAGUAGGAGCUGCCGUUGUCGUAGUAGGAGCUACUGUUGUCGUAGUAGGAGCUGCGGUUGUCGUAGUAGGAGCUGCGGUUGACGUAGUAGGAGCUGCGGUUGUCGAAGUAGGAGCUGCGGUUGUAGUAGUAGGAGCUGCGGUUAACGUAGUAGGAGCUGCGGUUGUCGAAGUAGGAGCUGCGGUUGACGUAGUAGGAGCUACUGUUGUCGUAGUAGGAGCUGCGGUUGUUGUAGUAGGAGCUGCGGUUGACGUAGUAGGAGCUGCGGUUGUCGAAGUAGGAGCUGCGGUUGUAGUAGACGCGGUUGUCGCUGUAGGAGCUGCCAUUGUUGUAGUAGGUGCUACGGUUGUAGUAGACGCGGUUGUCGCUGUAGGAGCUGCCAUUGUUGUAGUAGGUGCUGUCGAUGUCGUAGUAGGAGCUGCCGAUGUCGUAGUAGGUGCCACAGAUGUCGUAGUAGGAUCCGCAGAUGUCGUAGUAGGAGCUGCCGUUGUCGUAGUAGGAGCUACUGUUGUCGUAGUAGGAGCUGCGGUUGUUGUAGUAGGAGCUGCGGUUGACGUAGUAGGAGCUGCGGUUGUCGAAGUAGGAGCUGCGGUUGUAGUAGACGCGGUUGUCGCUGUAGGAGCUGCCAUUGUUGUAGUAGGUGCUACGGUUGUAGUAGACGCGGUUGUCGCUGUAGGAGCUGCCAUUGUUGUAGUAGGUGCUGUCGAUGUCGUAGUAGGAUCUGCCGAUGUCGUAGUAGGUGCCACAGAUGUCGUAGUAGGAUCCGCAGAUGUCGUAGUAGGAGCCGCGGUUGUCGUAGUAGGAGCUGUGGUUGUAGGAGCUGCGGGUGUCGUAGUAGGAGCUGCGGUUGUCGUAGUAGGAGCUACGGUUGUAGUAGACGCGGUUGUCGCUGUAGGAGCUGCCAUUGUUGUAGUAGGUGCUGUCGAUGUCGUAGUAGGAGCUGCCGAUGUCGUAGUAGGAGCUACUGUUGUCGUAGUAGGAGCUGCGGUUGUUGUAGUAGGAGCUGCGGUUGACGUAGUAGGAGCUGCGGUUGUCGUAGUAGGAGCUACUGUUGUCGUAGUAGGAGCUACGGUUGACGUAGUAGGAGCUGCGGUUGACGUAGUAGGAGCUGCGGUUGUCGAAGUAGGAGCUGCGGUUGUCGAAGUAGGAGCUGCGGUUGUAGUAGACGCGGUUGUCGCUGUAGGAGCUGCCAUUGUUGUAGUAGGUGCUGUCGAUGUCGUAGUAGGAGCUGCCGAUGUCGUAGUAGGAGCUACUGUUGUCGUAGUAGGAGCUGCGGUUGUCGUAGUAGGAGCUGCGGUUGACGUAGUAGGAGCUGCGGUUGUCGAAGUAGGAGCUGUGGUUGUAGUAGACGCGGUUGUCGCUGUAGGAGCUGCCAUUGUUGUAGUAGGUGCUGUCGAUGUCGUAGUAGGAGCUGCCGAUGUCGUAGUAGGUGCCACAGAUGUCGUAGUAGGAGCCGCCGAUGUCGUAGUAGGAGCUGCGGUUGUAGUAGACGCGGUUGUCGCUGUAGGAGCUGCGGUUGUAGUAGACGCGGUUGUCGCUGUAGGAGCUGCCAUUGUUGUAGUAGGAGCUGUCGAUGUCGUAGUAGGAGCUGCGGUUGUAGUAGACGCGGUUGUCGAAGUAGGAGCUGCGGUUGUAGUAGACGCGGUUGUCGCUGUAGGAGCUGCCAUUGUUGUAGUAGGAGCUGUCGAUGUCGUAGUAGGAGCUGUCGAUGUCGUAGUAGGAGCUGCGGUUGUAGUAGACGCGGUUGUCGAAGUAGGAGCUGCGGUUGUAGUAGACGCGGUUGUCGCUGUAGGAGCUGCCAUUGUUGUAGUAGGAGCUGUCGAUGUCGUAGUAGGAGCUGCCGAUGUCGUAGUAGGAGCUACUGUUGUCGUAGUAGGAGCUGCGGUUGUAGUAGUAGGUGCCACAGAUGUCGUAGUAGGAGCUGCGGUUGACGUAGUAGGAUCUGCGGUUGUAGUAGACGCGGUUGUCGCUGUAGGAGCUGCGGUUGACGUAGUAGGAGCUGCGGUUGACGUAGUAGGAGCUGCGGUUGUAGUAGACGCGGUUGUCGCUGUAGGAGCUGCGGUUGUAGUAGACGCGGUUGUCGCUGUAGGAGCUGCCAUUGUUGUAGUAGGAGCUGUCGAUGUCGUAGUAGGAGCUGCCGAUGUUGUAGUAGGUGCCACAGAUGUCGUAGUAGGAUCCGCAGAUGUCGCUGUAGGAGCUGCCAUUGUUGUAGUAGGAGCUGCCGAUGUCGUAGUAGGAGCUGCGGUUGUAGUAGACGCGGUUGUCGAAGUAGGAGCUGCGGUUGUAGUAGACGCGGUUGUCGCUGUAGGAGCUGCCAUUGUUGUAGUAGGAGCUGUCGAUGUCGUAGUAGGAGCUGCCGAUGUCGUAGUAGGAGCUACUGUUGUCGUAGUAGGAGCUGCGGUUGUCGUAGUAGGUGCCACAGAUGUCGUAGUAGGAGCUGCGGUUGACGUAGUAGGAUCUGCGGUUGUAGUAGACGCGGUUGUCGCUGUAGGAGCUGCGGUUGACGUAGUAGGAGCUGCGGUUGACGUAGUAGGAGCUGCGGUUGACGUAGUAGGAUCUGCGGUUGUAGUAGACGCGGUUGUCGCUGUAGGAGCUGCGGUUGACGUAGUAGGAGUUGCGGUUGACGUAGUAGGAGCUGCGGUCGUCGUGGUAGUAGCCUCGGUUGUCGUGGUAGCAGCCGCGGUUGUCGUAGUAGGAGCCUCGGUUGUUGUUGUCAUAUUAGGCUCUAAGGUUGUGCUUGUUGCAGAGCAAAGGCUGCAUAUUUCUGGAAAAAAAUACUAAAUAUUACAAU
ensembl:lncRNA